UACGUAGGGUGCAAGCGUUAAUCGGAGUUACUGGGCGUAAAGCGUGCGCAGGCGGUUUUGUAAGUCAGAUGUGAAAUCCCCGGGCUUAACCUGGGAACUGCGUUUGAAACUACAAGGCUAGAGUGUGGCAGAGGGGGGUGGAAUUCCACGUGUAGCAGUGAAAUGCGUAGAGAUGUGGAGGAACACCGAUGGCGAAGGCGGCCAUCUGGGACAACACUGACGCUGAAGCACGAAAGCGUGGGGAGCAAACAGG
rnacentral:rRNA from 1 species